GAAAUGCGAUAAGUAAUGUGAAUUGCAGAAUUCAGUGAAUCAUCGAAUCUUUGAACGCACCUUGCGCUCCUUGGUAUUCCUUGGAGCAUGCCUGUUUGAGUAUCAUGAAAUCUUCAAAGUAAAUCUUUUGUUAACUCAAUUGGUUUCUACUUUGGUAUUGGAGGUCUUUGCAGCUUCACACCUGCUCCUCUUUGUUCAUUAGCUGGAUCUCAGUGUUAUGCUUGGUUCCACUCGGCGUGAUAAGUUAUCUAUCGCUGAGGACACUGUAAAAGGUGGCCAAGGUAAAUGCAGAUGAACCGCUUCUAAUAGUCCAUGGACUUGGACAAUACUUUUAUGAUCUGAUCUCAAAUCAGGUAGGACUACCCGCUGAACUUAAGC
rnacentral:misc_RNA from 1 species